rnacentral:rRNA from 1 species
UACGUAGGGGGCAAGCGUUGUCCGGAAUCAUUGGGCGUAAAGAGCGUGUAGGCGGUUCGGUAAGUCGGCUGUGAAAGUCCAGGGCUCAACCCUGGGAUGCCGGUCGAUACUGCCGGACUAGAGUUCGGAAGAGGCGAGUGGAAUUCCCGGUGUAGCGGUGAAAUGCGCAGAUAUCAGGAAGAACACCCGUGGCGAAGGCGGCUCUCUGGUACGUGACUGACGCUGAGACGCGAAAAGCGUGGGGAGCAAACAGG